rnacentral:rRNA from 1 species
GAGUAACACGUGGGUAACCUACCUAUAAGACUGGGAUAACUCCGGGAAACCGGGGCUAAUACCGGAUAAUAUUUUGAACCGCAUGGUUCAAUAGUGAAAGACGGUUUCGGCUGUCACUUAUAGAUGGACCCGCGCCGUAUUAGCUAGUUGGUAAGGUAACGGCUUACCAAGGCGACGAUACGUAGCCGACCUGAGAGGGUGAUCGGCCACACUGGAACUGAGACACGGUCCAGACUCCUACGGGAGGCAGCAGUAGGGAAUCUUCCGCAAUGGGCGAAAGCCUGACGGAGCAACGCCGCGUGAGUGAUGAAGGUCUUCGGAUCGUAAAACUCUGUUGUUAGGGAAGAACAAAUUUGUUAGUAACUGAACAAGUCUUGACGGUACCUAACCAGAAAGCCACGGCUAACUACGUGCCAGCAGCCGCGGUAAUACGUAGGUGGCAAGCGUUAUCCGGAAUUAUUGGGCGUAAAGCGCGCGUAGGCGGUUUCUUAAGU